rnacentral:rRNA from 1 species
UACAGAGGGGGCAAGCGUUGUUCGGAAUUACUGGGCGUAAAGGGCGCGUAGGCGGCCUGUUAAGUCGAACGUGAAAUCCCCGGGCUCAACCCGGGAACUGCGUCCGAUACUGGCAGGCUUGAAUCCGGGAGAGGGAUGCGGAAUUCCAGGUGUAGCGGUGAAAUGCGUAGAUAUCUGGAGGAACACCGGUGGCGAAGGCAGCCCCCUGGGCCAGCACUGACGCUCAUGCACGAAAGCGUGGGGAGCAAACAGG